rnacentral:rRNA from 1 species
UACGAAGGGGGCUAGCGUUGCUCGGAAUUACUGGGCGUAAAGCGCACGUAGGCGGUUUUGCAAGUCAGAGGUGAAAGCCCGGAGCUCAACUCCGGAAUUGCCUUUGAGACUGCAUCACUUGAACGUCGGAGAGGUGAGUGGAAUUCCGAGUGUAGAGGUGAAAUUCGUAGAUAUUCGGAAGAACACCAGUGGCGAAGGCGGCUCACUGGACGACUGUUGACGCUGAGGUGCGAAAGCGUGGGGAGCAAACAGGG